CGCCAUCUGAAGUGCCCGUAUCGUGUCACACAUGCAAGUCUGAAGUCAUUUUGUCAUGCCUGCUUGGAUGCAUCCAAAAUCCGGUUUACCUGUGAAGAAGACCAACAAAAAAGCAAAGUCAGAUGUGAUUUCCAUGGCAGCUUUUUCCUCGAAGCCGUAUGUGACCAUUGGAGCAUGAGAGCGUGAGAGCGCGGCGGCUCAGAUGGAGACGGGAUAGAAGGAGGCGAAGACGGAGGCGUCGUCGCCGCUUACCAGUGGUCUCCACGAUGCCCUCCAGGAUCACCACGAUCUCAAACUGCUCACUGGUUUCUUUAUACGUCCACUAACAUCAUCAACAACAUCAGCAACCCCCUCGGCCCCCCACUGACCCGUCCAUGACAUUGCCGCCGGCCAACAACCCCCAUGAAGUCCCCCUGCGAGUGUCAUGUGAGUAAACAGCCUCGUCACCAAUUGAAUAUGAAUGAGGUGUGCCGCAGGGUUCCGUGUCGUUGCCGCUGUGGAGUCAGCGGGCCGUUGUUCACUUGUUAGCUACUUAGCGGCUUGUGAGCAAGCCCGUCAAAACGCUUUACCUCCGUCCUUUUCACUUUUUUUUUUUUUUCGCUGCCUUGUCUCUUGUCAAAUUAACAAGACGGAUGAGCAGCCCGUAUGGCGACAGUCCACAGGCGAAGCGGCUUACAAGUCUGCUGUCUUUUCCCAGAGUCUCUGUGCCUCAAAGAAGAUGAUUUCGCUUCCCGAGCGCCGCAUUUAUUAUUAGACUUGAGAUGUGCUUAAAUUUAUACACUUCCAGAGCCCGGAAUCGAACCCUGCACCUCUGCACUGUGAGUCCAUCGUGCUAACCAGGUGUCCACCGUGCCGCCCUAGAAAUAAUCCACGAAAUCAAAAACAUCAACACAUAGGCACACGCGUGCAUGAUCACUAUUGCUCCUCUCACAAGUUACUUCCACUAACCGCCACAACUAUUACAAAUCCAUCCGUUCAUUUAGUACUUCUGCUUAUCUUGUGCAGAGUCACAACUGCCCCGAAGUCCCAGCUGUCCUGGUGGGCAAGAGUCAAACCCACCCAGGACAUAGAAAUAAUCCAAGUAAAUUCAUUGUUGCUCUUAAUCAGUAUUCUGCUAGCUUUCCACAUUCAUUCCCAACAGGGAAAAAAAAAAACUUGUACUAUGAGGUGUCCUAAGCAUCUUUCUUCUUCUGGCCUCCUCGUACACGCCUUUUGAUUACAUCUCUUAUUAGAAAAUGCAAUAGAAACCAAUUCCGAGUCCCCAAACCUCUGAGGAGAUAAAACAAGACAGACAAUUCUUUUUUUUUUCCGGAUGAAACUCUUACCAUGCAAAUUUUUCAUUAAGUUCCCUCGCUCUCCGCACCUGUGGCAUUUCGCUGUUCCAUCGGUACUCGUCAGCCGCUCACUGAGUGACAGACUCAUCUUCCUCCUCCUCCUCCUCCUCUUCUUUGUCUUUCUGUUGGCAGCUGUCAGCCACUAAUUAUCCACUACGCCGAUCGCCCCACAACUUCCUGUCCAAACAGCCGCCAUUGUUUAACGCUUUCACACAAACAGACGGCGGCGGAAUCUGUGAGGUCCGACACAAUCCCUCUUAAAACGCCAAUUUGUUUGGCUUCGGAAACAGUUUCCAUCAGACGGUAUUCUGCUUCAUUGAAGCUUCAUUAACUCUCCAGGCAAUGUUUU